ACGUAAAUUACUGGAAGAGCUUGUGAAAAUGCAGGUUCUGGUUCAGGAUGGCAUGGUGGGGCCUGAGAAUCUGCAUUUCUAACAAGCUCUCAGGCGAUGCCAAU
rnacentral:pre_miRNA from 1 species